CUACAGGCUUAACACAUGCAAGUCGAGGGGCAUCAGGAAGAAAGCUUGCUUUCUUUGCUGGCGACCGGCGCGCGGGUGAGUAACACGUAUCCAACCUGCCCUUUACUCGGGGAUAGCCUUUCGAAAGAAAGAUUAAUACCCGAUAGCAUAAUGAUUCCGCAUGGUUUCAUUAUUAAAGGAUUCCGGUAAAGGAUGGGGAUGCGUUCCAUUAGGUUGUUGGUGAGGUAACGGCCCACCAAGCCUUCGAUGGAUAGGGGUUCUGAGAGGAAGGUCCCCCACAUUGGAACUGAGACACGGUCCAAACUCCUACGGGAGGCAGCAGUGAGGAAUAUUGGUCAAUGGGCGCUAGCCUGAACCAGCCAAGUAGCGUGAAGGAUGAAGGCUCUAUGGGUCGUAAACUUCUUUUAUAUAAGAAUAAAGUGCAGUAUGUAUACUGUUUUGUAUGUAUUAUAUGAAUAAGGAUCGGCUAACUCCGUGCCAGCAGCCGCGGUAAUACGGAGGAUCCGAGCGUUAUCCGGAUUUAUUGGGUUUAAAGGGAGCGUAGGUGGACUGGUAAGUCAGUUGUGAAAGUUUGCGGCUCAACCGUAAAAUUGCAGUUGAUACUGUCAGUCUUGAGUACAGUAGAGGUGGGCGGAAUUCGUGGUGUAGCGGUGAAAUGCUUAGAUAUCACGAAGAACUCCGAUUGCGAAGGCAGCUCACUGGACUGCAACUGACACUGAUGCUCGAAAGUGU
rnacentral:rRNA from 1 species